rnacentral:rRNA from 1 species
AUUGAACGCUGGCGGCAUGCCUUACACAUGCAAGUCGAACGGUAACAGGUCUUCGGAUGCGGACGAGUGGCGAACGGGUGAGUAAUACAUCGGAACGUGCCCGAGAGUGGAGGAUAACGAGGCGAAACCUUUGCUAAUACCGCAUACGAUCUCCGGAUGAAAGCAGGGGACCGCAAGGCCUUGCGCUCACAGAGCGGCCGGUGGCGGAUUAGGUAGUUGGUGGGGUAAAAGCCUACCAAGCCGACGAUCUGUAGCUGGUCUGCGAGGACGAACAGCCAAACUGGGACGAAGUCACGGCGCAGAAGCCGACGGGAGGCAGCAGUGGGGAAUUUUGGACAAUGGGCGCAAGCCUGCUCCAGCCAUGCCGCGUGCAUGAUGAAGGACUUCGGGUUGUAAACUGCUUAUGUCCGGAACGAAAAGACGCUGGUUAAUACCUGGGGUCCAUGACGGUAGCGUAAGAAUAAGCACCGGCUAACUACGUGCGAGCAGCCGCGGUAAAAC